CAUGCUAAAAGGAGCAAUGUUUUUGUUUUGUGUGGGGCAAAGAAAGGAAGACAAAGGACUGAGGGGAAGUAGGAUAAGUCUUAUCUGGAAAAACUGGAAGAGAAGGAUGAGAGCCGAUGAAGGGGAAGAGGAGACUCUCAAAGUGCUGUCUGAGGUCAGCAGCUGGAAGGAGACUCGGACAGCGGACUGGCUGCUCCUGGGGUCCCAGUGGACGACAGCCUGUGGCCCAAACACCAUGGCUUCUGAAGGCUGGAUGAGUGCUGGGAGUGUCAGUCCACAUGUGCAUUCAGGAACUUGACCCAGGAAUGCCGGUAACAGCUGGAAUGGAGAACUGAGAGUACAUCUCUUGGAUUUUUACCUCCUGACAUCAGCUCUACUUCUGGUUAUUGCCCCACAAUGAGUUAAGUCUGAAUGUUGCUUCCUGGGCAUAUACUGUGUUCAUUAAUAUCUUCAUGGCCUUGUUUCAUCUGCCCCUUUGACAUGAACUCAUAUUUCACUCCAGUCCAAUUCCUGCCCCAGUUCAGAAUAGAACUCAAAGAAGCCAUUUCUUAAGG